AGAAGGACCAACACCAGUGCAAUGACUGCCUUCAACAAGUCUACAAGGCAUCUUAAUGUUGUCUGCUAAUAUCUUGAAAAGUAAAGCGUGAUGCCUAGAGAGCCCAACAUCUAAGGACCCAAGAGGGUCGCCCAUAUGGCUCGUAACAAGUUCGGCAAGCCUUUGCACCAAAAUACCGAUCUCAGUGACAGGACAGUCCAAUGCUAUACAAUGUGCAAUUUGCACCAGCUCGUCCAGGGCAGGAUCAAUUGUUCGAUUGACUAUGACCACUUCAAAGCUAGAACCACCUGAGUUUGUUUCAAGAUCAGCUAGAGAUGGCAUCUGUGAAGGAUCUGUGACUUUCGUCUAAGUGAAGCAGUACCAAUAACACUUCCAGCCGGUAGAUCAGCUAGUGAAGCCGCACUCAAUGAUAUAAAUGCAUCUCUAACAUCCUCUCGUGGAAGGUUACACGGUAAAAUAGUUUUCUCUGGUUGACGAGUGCACCUAUAGCAGCUGCCUGAGCAUCAAUUGCCGGUAAUCUGAUAAGGUCAAUCAAACGUUUGUGUAUCUGUGGAAAAAAUGAUAGCAAGAAAGGUUCGUUGUCAGGAUUAAUGAUCAAUCGGCC